AGAUUGAACGCUGGCGGCAUGCCUUACACAUGCAAGUCGAACGGCAGCACGGGAGCAAUCCUGGUGGCGAGUGGCGAACGGGUGAGUAAUAUAUCGGAACGUGCCCAGUCGUGGGGGAUAACGCAGCGAAAGCUGUGCUAAUACCGCAUACGAUCUAUGGAUGAAAGCGGGGGAUCGCAAGACCUCGCGCGAUUGGAGCGGCCGAUAUCAGAUUAGCUAGUUGGUGGGUAAAAGCCUACCAAGGCGACGAUCUGUAGCUGGUCUGAGAGGACGACCAGCCACACUGGAACUGAGACACGGUCCAGACUCCUACGGGAGGCAGCAGUGGGGAAUUUUGGACAAGUGGGCGCGAAGCCUGAUCCAGCCAAUGCCGCGUGCAGGAUGAAGGCCUUCGGUGUAAACGUGUACUUUUGUAACGGAACGUAAAGGUCUACG
rnacentral:rRNA from 1 species